rnacentral:lncRNA from 1 species
GCUGCCUGGGUCGGCUGGGCCUGUGGGCCUGCGUCCGACAGCGCGCGGCCGUGCUUUCUAAGCGGGCUCGGCAGCACCAGACUUCACCGGCCCGGCGCGGGGCUCACAAGUGCUCGCACUCCCUGCGGCCGGCGCGCUGACCGGAGCCUCUGGGUCUCGCACGCAGCAGCUGCAGACGCUGCCCGGCGCGGUGGGGCUGUGAGCAAAACGGCCCGCCGGUGUGGUUGCCCAGACUGUGCUGGGCCCUCCUAGGUGGAUGGCCCUGCCCCAGCCUAACUUCUGUACCCCAGCAUAACCUCCAAAGUAACAGCCGUGCCCUGGGAGCCUGUUCAACACUGAACAUAUCCCACAAUAACACUGUUCCAGCGUCGCUGGUAAAAAGCAGAAAUGGCUUCGCUGGAGGCAUCGACAAAUCUAAUGCAGUAACCUCAUUUUACAGAAGAGAACUCUAAGAGGAUAACUAACUUGGCCAAGAUCACAUGAUGUUUCUGGAUGAGAUUAGCAUUCAAAUUCGUGGACUCAUUAAAGUAGAUGGCUCUCUCCAAUAUGGGUGGGCAUCAUCCAAUCUGUUGAAGGCGUGAAGAGAACAAGAGAAGGAGGAAGGAAGAAUUCACCUUUUUUCUUGCUGCCCACCUGCUUGGGCUGGGACAUUGCAUCUCACCUUCUCCAGCCUUUGGAUGAGGAUUUACACCCUGGUUCUCAGGCCUUCAGGCUCUAACUGGAGCUACACUAUCAACUUUCCUGGGCCUCCAGAUUGCAGAUGGUGGAUCACGGUACUUUUUAGCCUCCAUCAUAAUAUGAGAAAAAAGAGGCACAGUGAAGCUAAAUAUAUUGGCUAAAGAUCACAAAGCUAAGAAGAUUAUCAAGGUUAUCUGUGCUCAAUGUGUGCAUCUCAGAUCAGCAGCAUCAGCAUCACCUGGGAGCUUGUUAGAGCUGGAGACUCUCAGGCUCCACGGCAGACUUCCUGAAUCAGAAGCUACAAUUUAACAGGAUCCUCGGGUGAUCUGAAAAUGCAAUAAAGUUUGGGAAGCACUGCUGUUGGUCAUUAGACAAUCUAAUGAACUAAGACUUUUGCCGAGCAUCUGAGUUGAAAUUUUUCAAGAUGAAAAGUUGCUAAAGAAAGAGAAAGGGAAGCGGUUUGCUCCAGUAUUCCUCUUUCCACCUUCCCACUGACUGGGAAGCGGCGGUUAGCAGAGCCACAGUCUUGGAUUAGAGAUAAGAGGGACAUGUUGAGGAAGGUGGAGUCUCCCCCACAGCCCUGGACCAGUACGGAAUCCCUGUAUUCUAGGAUUUGGCAAGCUGUCCACUGAAACAUUAUUUUUCCCAGCCUUCUUUGCAGAGAAAUUAGUUGAUAACGUCUUCCAGGAGACCUACGGCCAUCCUACUGAUAUGAACCAGAUCAUACCUGCCCUGAUGGGAUGCCAGAGAAAGACUGCUGCAAGGGAUCCUCUGGAAACAGAACAGAGGGAAGAAGAUACCUUCCCUGAAGCCCAGAUGUUCCAGAAGCCUGCGCCUCAUUCACAAAGUCACCCCAAAAAUGCCCUAGAGUUUGGAGUUUUGAAGAAGCGGGAAGAAGGCCUGAGUAAGGGCCUGGGAACCAAGUUAGAUCCUACUUCAGCAUCAGCACAUGCCAGCGAUGGUGCACACAGGUGGAGAGCGGCCUGCCCGUCUUUUCCAUGGUGCCCACAGACCCAUUUAGGAUGAAAGAUCAGAAAAUUCUCUCCAUGUCACCGCUUCUGAAACAUGUGAAUAUUAAUAUUUGGUGCCUAAAAGGCCAUGGCAAAUUUUCAUUGGUUUUAUCUUAUUCAUGAUUAUAGAGUUGAAAGAAUACAUAUUCCCAUGGGGAUCAAUGAAGACAUUCUCAUUUUGAAUGAAGUAGAAUAUAAGUUGUAAAGAUAUAGAAUUUUCCUGAACUGAACCUUGAACCAAAAAUCCCCUCAAUUAACCUGGAACUAAACACAGUCCCUGAAGAUAACAAGGAGUUUCAGGAUGCCACAGGGCUGUCUGUGCAGUAUGGGGCUUCUUGCUCUAUCUCUGGUAUCUGAGGCAGAUAGGCUACUCAGGCCCCUCUCUGGUCUCAAGGUGGGCUGGCUGAGAUGUCAGUUUCUUCCUCAGUGACAGCUUGGGUACAGUAUGUGUAAACUGAUUGUCAGCUGAGCUGAAGGGACUCUGCCCAUAUUGGAGUGUUCUACAAGAAGAGGUGUCAAACCUAAAGGUCUAAAAUUACUAUGAAAGGAGUAUUGGAAACCACUGGGACAAUUGUGAUCACAACUGGUGGUAGCCUUCUCGUUUGGGUGAGAAAGACAGAAAGGAGGAAGAUGUGUUAGUCAAGGUUCUCUAGAGGGACAAAACUAAUAGGAUAUAUGUAUAUAUGAGAGGGAGUUUAUUAAGGAGAAUUGACUCACUUGAUCACAAGGUAAAGUCCCAAGAUAGGCUGUCUGCAAGUUGAGGAGCAAGGAAGUCAUUGGUGGAUUGUUCUGGGUACCAAAACCUCAAAAGUAGGGAAAUCGACAGUGCAGCCUUCAGUCUGUGGUCAAAGGCUCGAGGGGCCCUGGCAGACCACUGGUGUAAGUCCAAGAGUCCCAGAAGCUGAAGAACUUGGAGUCUGAUGUUUGAGGGCAGGAAGCAUCCAGCACAGGAGAAAGACGGAUGCUGGAAGACUUAGCAAGUCUGUUCUUUCCAAUUUCUUCUGCCUGCUUUUAUUCUAGCCAUGCUGGCAGCUGAUUAGAUGGUGCCCUCCCAAAUUGAGGGUGGCUGUGCCUCUCCCAGUCCACUGACUCAAAUGUUAAUCUCCUUUGGCAACACCCUCACAGACACACCCAGGAACAAUACUUUGCAUCCUUCAUUCCAAUCAAGUUGACACUCAAUAUUAACCAUCACAGAAGGAGAAUUUCAGGCUGAGUCCAAACACUAUGGCCCCAGCCCCAGCUUCCCCUUUCUGGGUUGAAUAACCAGACUGAGCCUAAGAAAAGGAAAAGAGUUGACUUUCUCCCAAAAGGCCUGCAGCGGGUUAGAAAGCAAUGGUUUGGGGACCAUACUGAGUGCCUAGGAUGCUCUGGACCACAAAGCUUGAAGUCAAAUUGUUCAUGCACUUGUUUCAUGAUAGGAAGAGAGAGAGAGAGAGAGAGAGAGAGAGAGAAAUUUCCUUUCCUUGAAGAAUGGCAAAACACGUCUCUUGUUCUGGGGGCUAUAUCUUGAAGGGUAUCUGAUCUCCCCCUCAUGGGAGGAACUAGAAUGCCCUAAGGCAGCCGUGGCUCCUGGAGCUGAGAGAUCUUUCUGACACUUUGUGAGAGCUGCAAGGCUAAGUCUGGAGCCAGAAAAGUCCAUGUGGACAAGUGCAGAGCAAGCAGAUCUGAGACACAUGUGGGAGCAAGCUGGACAUGUCCAAAAGUCAGAGGAAGCAAGAGCAGACAUGCAUGAGCAGGCAGAUGAGGCUGGUGCCCAGGCAGCAGGCUGAGGCUCUGGCUGGGCUUUGGAUGCUCCUGAGAGUCCAGUUAGAGACCAGUGAGCAAACCCACAGUGAACUCUUAUUCCUCACGCAGCAGGACGAGGGAUUAAGCACAAAGCCUUAAAGGUCUGAGUGUCUCUUUAUCCUGACCUCAGGAAAGAGAGGCAAGUAUCAUGUUUCUAAAAGUCUGAGAAGUCUUCACAUGACAGCCUACACCAAAAGAACUCAAAUGCACAUCCACUGCAUACACGCAUGUGUGCACACAUAUACAUGUGUACACAUGCAUGCCCACACACAACCCUCUGGAAGAGGAAGUAAAGAGACUUUAUGUUUUCAGCCCCUCUUGAGGAAACUUAAACUAAGUCUUUCUGUGGGGUUAGUGGUGGAGACAGAGAGGGUCUGGGGUCACCGAGGCCGAGGUGGCUGGACCCAGAGGGUAGAGCUGAGGGGAUCCCCUGAGACUGGGAAGAUGGAGCAGAAGCAGAUGGCAGAUGGCAGCAGGUGAGAGCAGACUGGAUUUCUCCUAAAUCACCAGAUCCAGCCAACCUUUCUUUCCUUAGGGACACCUCUAGAUCCCAUUCCAAAUGAACUCUUUCUCUGACCUUUCACCUCAAUUCAGAAUUUGGGAAAUUUAGCCAUGAUCUUAGGAACACAGAGGCUUGAAACAAUCUUUUCUAACCACCCGUUUGUUCAGACUGUGUAAGUUCUGCUUCUGCAUCCAGUGUCAACACCCAAGAACCAUUUUAAAGGGGAGCCAUCCUUUGAAAUUAAACUUCUUUUAAUAAUAAAGACAGAUUUCAGGGUUGACAUAAAAGAUAGCCACAGUAAAGCCAAUCCUCCAGUGUAUAACAUUUUUCAAAGUUUCCUUCCUCUUCAUUGCUGGUGUUCAUGUACAGUCCAGAGUUAGUCUACAUUAAAUUAUAGAUUGUUUUCAGCAAUAAUGCAAACAUUUGGAAGCCUUCAAACUCUCUGAUAACUAACUUCUACAUUCUCUCUGCUAUUAUUAUAUAGAAAGGGAAAUUUUACCUGAUGCUGUUAAAGUCCUCACGAACAUAGUGAUCCGAAUUGGCUGAAGUGGAAAACUAAAUGUUAGCUGAUUUUCAAAACAAGAUUUCCACUCUGAAUUCCCAUUUUUCACAUGUGAUCAUAUGCCUUGUUGUGAAGUUGAACUAAAAAGAAACUCCAUGCCCACUGGCUUAAUGCUAGAAGAUAAUCUACAGCAUAGUAAUUUCUUAGACUUCACUUUAUUAGCCACUAAACUUGGAAUGAUUAUUUCUAUGUUCAAUUAUUAAGUCUAUAUCUCCAUUUCUUAAAAAGGUCUGAGGCAGCCCCUUUGAAUAUUAAUACGCAUUUAUUUUCACCUCUCAAAUAAAAAAAUAGUUCACAGUG